rnacentral:rRNA from 1 species
CGAUUGUAGUCAUAUGCUUGUCUCAAAGACUAAGCCAUGCAUGCCUAAGUAUAAGCAAUCUAUACUGUGAAACUGCGAAUGGCUCAUUAAAUCGGUUAUCGUUUAUUUGAUAGUACCUUACUACUUGGAUAACCGUGGUAAUUCUAGAGCUAAUACAUGCUAAAAACCCCGACUUUUGGAGGGGUGUAUUUAUUAGAUAAAAAACCAAUGCCCUUCGGGGCUCCUUGGUGAUUCAUAAUAACUUAACGAAUCGCAUGGCCUUGUGCCGGCGAUGGUUCAUUCAAAUUUCUGCCCUAUCAACUUUCGAUGGUUAGGUCUUGGCUAACCAUGGUUUCAACGGGUAACGGGGAAUUAGGGUUCUAUUCCGGAGAGUGAGCCUGAGAAAUGGCUAACACAUCCAAGGAAGGCAGCAGGCGCGCAAAUUACCCAAUCCCGACACGGGGAGGUAGUGACAAUAAAUACUGAUCCAGGGCUCUUUUGGGUCUUGGAAUUGGAAUGAGUACAAUUUAAAUCCCUUAACGAGGAACAAUUGGAGGGCAAGUCUGGUA